AUUGAACGCUGGCGGCAGGCCUAACACAUGCAAGUCGAGCGGAUGAAGGGAGCUUGCUCCUGGAUUCAGCGGCGGACGGGUGAGUAAUGCCUAGGAAUCUGCCUGGUAGUGGGGGAUAACGUCCGGAAACGGGCGCUAAUACCGCAUACGUCCUGAGUGAGAAAGUGGGGGAUCUUCGGACCUCACGCUAUCAGAUGAGCCUAGGUCGGAUUAGCUAGUUGGUGGGGUAAAGGCCUACCAAGGCGACGAUCCGUAACUGGUCUGAGAGGAUGAUCAGUCACACUGGAACUGAGACACGGUCCAGACGCCUACGGGAGGCAGCAGUGGGGAAUAUUGGACAAUGGGCGAAAGCCUGAUCCAGCCAUGCCGCGUGUGUGAAGAAGGUCUUCGGAUUGUAAAGCACUUUAAGUUGGGAGGAAGGGCAGUAAGUUAAUACCUUGCUGUUUUGACGGUACCAACAGAAUAAGCACCGGCUAACUUCGUG
rnacentral:rRNA from 1 species